UGCAUCUCUGUCUUUGGCCUCCUCUCCACAGUCCCCUGGCUUCCUUCUUCCUGGGAACUUGGACUCAAUGUGUUUCUGUGCUUGUAACCCCAGGGUCUCCGGGGAUUAGGUUUAUGGAAUUAUGCUAACAGAGGAAAUCAGAAAAUUGAAAGUCAAUGUUUGCAAUCACAUGUUCCCUUGGUGACGUAGCCUUUGGAAAUUGUAUGUAGGUCCUGCAGCUGAGAUGCAGAAGAUGUUGGUAAAAGUGACUCCAACCAUCCCCUGCCUGGAAGCGAGCCUGGGACACGAGAGAAGGGAGAUCUGUGAUCCUGGCUCAAGAGCAGACAGUCAGGGGUGGCACAGGGAAGCCAAGUGACCAAAUAGGCUGAUAUUGCCUGCAGCAGCUGUGCAGUGAGGAGAAGGCAUUGGUGAAAAUCAUGGUGACGAAACAUUAGCUGUGCUGAAAACGUUAGCACUGGAAAAGACGUUGGUGACCCUCAUCAAAAUUCCUCAUCAACUGAAGCCCAGGGAGAGGCUCAGUGAUUCUCUCAAGCUGGUUGACUGUCAAACGACGUGUAUAAGAUGUGGCCACAACGCACUCUGAGGUAAGAGCAAAUCCACCAUCAAAAAAAAUCACAACACACUGAGGGCUUCCCAACAGAAUACACAGCCCUAAAGUGGAGCCCUGAAGAUUCAACAGCGUCUUCAUAAAAGUAUGAUGUGCUGAGCUGACUUUGAAAGGCAGCCGCUGUGUUGUCCACCACUUCUGCACCUUUCAGCGUCUGCUUCUUCGGCACUUGGCUUGCUGUGACCCCAGCUCCACCUUCCAACUCCUUUUAUCUCAUCCAUAAACAUGUGGAGCUCCGGCUGUUCUGGAAAUGUUCUCUUUGCAUCUUUUCAGGUACUGUGCUUGCUGUUGGCUUGAUUUGGUUUCACAGUUCAGAUUUCUGAUAAGCAUGUUCCAUAUUUUUUGAGGAGGAUGUCAUUGACCAACAGAAACACUGGCUUACCUAUGGACCACUGUCAGUGAUCCAAUAUGACCUGAUUGUGAAGAGGGGCUGUGUUGUCUUCAGUGAGGUUGUUGAAGGUGCUGUGGAGGCUUCCCAGGUGGUACUGGUGGUAAAGAACCCACCAGCCAAUGCAGGAGACGUAAGAGACAUGGGUUAGAUCCCUGGGUCAGGAAGAUCUCCUGGAGGAGAGCAUAACAACCCACUCCAGUAUUCUUGCCUGGAAAAUUGCAUGGAAAAAGGAGCCUGGUGGGCUAUGUAGGGUCCAUAGUGUCACAAGAGUUGGACUUGACCGAAGUGACUUAGCGUGCAUGCACAAGGUGCUGUGGAUGGGCCAGGCUUUGGAACAGUAAUUCCAGCCCCAUCCUGUGUGGGGAUGGCAGGACAGUACAGCCAAUGUCUUCUCCAGAUUUACAAAUGCCCAACGUGUUUGUGAAGAAAUGAUCUAGUCACUUCUGGGCAGGGGGACCAAUCAGAGAUUGGAUGUAUCCAUUGCUGGCUGGUAAAAUCUAAUGUUUUAAUUUGUUGGCUAGCUUCUUUUUGGUUCCUAAACAUUGCUCAAAUUUUCACUCGAUUCUUCCUUUUUUCUCAGAAACAGUCUUUGCGGUCUUUGGCCACGCCCAGAAUCCUCGUCUGUUCUGUCUCUCCUCCCAGACAGACACUCCAGAGUUCAUGUCAGGAGAAGGAUGGCUCCCAGCUCCCCAGGGGAGGGAUUCAAGCCGUGGGAAGAGCCGAGCUCCAAGGACAUCGUGUUACACCCGCUAAAAUGGUGUCAGGAGGCUCGGGAGGGAGGCGGCUCCAGGAACAAAGUACGACGAGGUCUGGGACUGUGUGGGAACAAUCUGGGCCUCACAGCUGCUCUGUGACAGCCCGUGUCCUCAGGUCCUUCCGGGCGGAGCCUCCUGAGCCACCCACAGCACCUCUGCCACCCUUUUCCAGCACUUGGGCUGCUGUUCCACCUGGCCUCCAGCCCCUGAGGGGUGCCAGCAACACCAUGGAUGGGGAGGAGAGCCCCAUUUGGGGUAGUCACCUUGGAUACCUCUUUGCAUCCAGGGCGGUGGACCCUGUGUUUGGGGAGAAGUCCCGAUUCAGAAUUUGGAAUUGGGGUUUUGUGCUAAUUGGAUGCUUUUCUUCUGGCUUCAAAAUAAUAUUGUUUUGGUUGCUAAGAAACGCUCUUAAUUGAACAUGGGGCUGAAUGGUUCAGUACAAUGACGCGCCGUGCAGAAGUCGGGAGAACAGCACAGUGCUCAGGUGACAGCGGGCCAUUUCUUGGGACAGGCACAUCAUACCACACAAGUGUUUUCCCAGGUUUUCCUCACCAGGUGCCAAGGUGCUCAUUUGUGAUUGCAAACACAGGAGUCCCUGCCUAGUUCUGAGGCAUGGUCCAUCACUGAGCAAUCUGUGGCUAGAACCCAACUCAGCUUGGUUUUAUAGGCUGACGAUAUCUUGCAGGCUUGAAGAAGGAAAUGGUAACCCACUCCAGUAUUCUGGCCUGGGAAAUCCCAUGGAUGGAGGAGCCUGGUGGGCUGCAGUCUGUGGGAUUGCAAAGAGCUGGACAUGAUUUAAUGACCAAACAAUGAACAACAUCUUGCAGGCUAUUGGUCUGAGUGAACCACUCUCCUAAUGACCAGAUCAUUCUAAUGGUGUACUCAUUUGAUGCAGGGCAAUGAAAUACCGUUACUUGCAUCAGACUGGCUGGCUCUUGUGGACCUGAUCUCAUAAUCCUUGCUUCACGGAGGUCUCGAUUUCUUCCGUAGUGAAGAACAGGAACCUGAGAGAAGAUCCCUUUGGCAAAAGGUCUUUAGUGUCACUGAAAAAAACAAAGAUCAAAGUUUAAUAUUCCUAAUAGUAAUUGCUUUCUGUUUUGUUUUUCACAGCUGAGAGACUGCGUUUGGCUGAAUCUCUAGGGGGAGAUGAGAGAAGCAGGCGAAUAACCCUAGCUCUGAAAGCACUGAUAAAAUUAAUGUGUUCUUUGACUUUAGAGCCAGAAGACGGUCAUACACUGUUUUCCAGGCACUUUCCUAGCACACAGAUACCGUAGGCCACAAGGUGGGUUCAUGUCUGUUUGCUGAGAAGCCAGAUACGAGCACUGGUGGGUUGAGGGUGCUGAUGAGUACGAGGACUUGAGUAGAUGCUCUGCUUCUCACUGUGAUGGGCUGAGAGUUGUUUAAGUGUUUAAAACGUGGCCUAAAUAACAUCAAAGUAGUUCAAAAGUUGGUUUUUAAACAUCUCUUAGUGGAUAGAAUUAGAGGGCUAUUUUUUUUUUAAGUCAUCGCCCCUCCCCGUUCCCCUACUAACAGGUGGUACUGCAUCUGUGGCAGCCAGGGGUCUUUAAGUGAAGGCAACGGCAAUGCUGCUGACCUUCAUUUGAACAGGAGUUUAGUAAAAUGAUAUCGAGUGGCAAAUAUAUCUUAAAAAACCAUUUGAACAGCCAGGGAUCCAGAAGAGGGUGCCUAAAGGACCCUGAAAUCAGAACACAGUGGCUUCUACCAUUUCCUGUAUUUUUAUUACUUUGAGAUUCAAAUGUCAGGAGAAAGUAAUUUGUUCAAUUGGUCUACGGGACAGCUCCAGAAUUCCAGUGUAGGAGGGAUUCCAACUCUUGACGAGGAAGUGGAAGUUACCCUGGGUCUUAGAAGAGAGAGAGGAAAAGGUGUCAGGAGAAAAGAGUGGUGUGAACAAAUCCAUGGGGGCAGGAACCAGCAAAAUGAACAUGGGAGCCAGAGAUGGGUGCCUGUUGUAACGCAGGUGUGCAAGGGAGGCGCCAGGGAGGGACAGACCCGUGUGUAAGGGGCCGGGAGAGCCCUGGCAUUGUGGUGCAGUGGAAACAGAGGGAAGGAGGGAGGAUUCUAAAUAGGGAAAUGACCUGAGGGAAGCAACAUUAUUAGAAGUCAGGGAGUAGGUCUUAAAAAACCCAGUUCCUAAGUCUGAGCCUAGGGAACGAGAUGGUAGAGUGGGACCUGGUGAGGCAUCCACUAUGUCAUGAUGGUGCCACUGUGGGCCCUGGUACAGAGACCUCAUAAAGGGUGGCAUUUAGGGGUGGGUGUUAGGAGAAGGAGUUUGACCAUCACCAUGAAAUUGGCCCCCCUGACAAAGGCUGAGGCUCCCAUUACUGAGAGUAUUUGGGUCAAUCUGGACAUCCAGCCCCUUGUCCUGGGGAUGACCUUGGGAGGAAGGAUGAAUUUGACUUCAAAGGUCAAUGUAACUUCUGUGAAUCUAUAAGUCAA